rnacentral:sRNA from 1 species
GCCGAGCCUAGUAGCGUGGGCUUAUAACUAAGCAGGGCAUUAAAGUGAUUGGUUGUUUGAACUAAGCCUUACCAGGUGAGGUAUAGUGAUCUUGGACUGUUCACCUUGGUGAAGUCGAACAAAACACGCCCCCUACCUCGGGUUAGUAAGGCCCUCCAACCUAAAUGGUUGGAUAGCAAACCUCAAUUUGUGAUAUGAUUGGGGUGUUAGGCACGAAUACUAAACCCCACGGAUCAAGAAUCAUCACUCCUCAGCGUGUUGCCUGGCUUGGGCUCUCAUCACACAAUCACUUUU